rnacentral:rRNA from 1 species
UACGUAGGGUCCGAGCGUUGUCCGGAAUUAUUGGGCGUAAAGGGCUCGUAGGCGGUUUGUUGCGUCGGGGGUGAAAACUUCGAGCUUAACUCGGAGCUUGCUUUCGAUACGGGCAGACUUGAGGCAUUCAGGGGAGAACGGAAUUUCUGGUGUAGCGGUGAAAUGCGCAGAUAUCAGAAGGAACACCGGUGGCGAAGGCGGUUCUCUGGGAAUGUUCUGACGCUGAGGAGCGAAAGUGUGGGGAGCAAACAGG